rnacentral:rRNA from 1 species
AAUGAACGCUGGCGGCAUGGAUUAGGCAUGCAAGUCGAACGUGCUCCCUUCGGGGAGAAAGUGGCGAAAGGGUGAGUAACACGUGAGCAACCUGCCUCCGGAUCCGGAAUAAUCCAGGGAAACUUGGUCUAAAACCGGAUGAAGACAUUGGUCCGCAUGGUCUAAUGUUAAAAUAUUUAUAGUCCGGAGAGGGGCUCGCGGCCCAUUAGCUUGUUGGCGGGGUAAUGGCCCACCAAGGCUACGACGGGUAGGUGGUCUGAGAGGAUGGUCACCCACACUGGGACUGAGACACUGCCCAAACUCCUACGGGAGGCUGCAGUCGAGAAUCUUCCGCAAUGGGCGCCAAGCCUGACGGAGCGAUGCCGCGUGAGGGAUGAAGGCCUUCGGGUUGUAAACCUCUGUCAUCCGGGACGAAAACAAUGACGGUACCGGAAAAGGAAGCCACGGCUAACCACGUGCCAGCCGCCGC